rnacentral:rRNA from 1 species
CCUACGGGUGGCAGCAGUGGGGAAUAUUGGACAAUGGGCGAAAGCCUGAUCCAGCCAUGCCGCGUGUGUGAAGAAGGCCUUCGGGUUGUAAAGCACUUUCAGUGGGGAAGAAAGCCUUGGGGCUAAUACCCUCGAGGAAGGACAUCACCCACAGAAGAAGCACCGGCUGAACUCCGUGCCAGCAGCCGCGGUAAUACGGAGGGUGCGAGCGUUAAUCGGAAUUACUGGGCGUAAAGCGCGCGUAGGCGGUCUGAUAAGCCGGUUGUGAAAGCCCCGGGCUCAACCUGGGAACGGCAUCCGGAACUGUCAGGCUAGAGUGCAGGAGAGGAAGGUAGAAUUCCCGGUGUAGCGGUGAAAUGCGUAGAGAUCGGGAGGAAUACCAGUGGCGAAGGCGGCCUUCUGGACUGACACUGACGCUGAGGUGCGAAAGCGUGGGUAGCAAACAGGAUUAGAUACCCGUGUAGUC